UACGUAGGGUGCGAGCGUUGUCCGGAAUUACUGGGCGUAAAGGGCGCGUAGGCGGGAUGGCAAGUCGGUCGUGAAAUCCUUCGGCUCAACCGAAGAACGUCGAUCGAUACUGCUGUUCUUGAGGGUUGCAGAGGAGACUGGAAUUCCCGGUGUAGCGGUGAAAUGUGUAGAGAUCGGGAGGAACACCGGUGGCGAAGGCGGGUCUCUGGGCAAUUCCUGACGCUGAGGCGCGAAAGCGUGGGGAGCAAACGGG
rnacentral:rRNA from 1 species